rnacentral:tRNA from 7 species
GGGCCUAUAGCUCAGUCGGUUAGAGCAGGGGACUCAUAAUCCCUUGGUCCUAGGUUCGAGUCCUAGUGGGCCCACCA